GCAUGUGGUUUAAUUCGAAGCUACGCGAAGAACCUUACCAGGUCUUGACAUCUUGCGCCAACCCUAGAGAUAGGGCGUUUCCUUCGGGAACGCAAUGACAGGUGGUGCAUGGUCGUCGUCAGCUCGUGUCGUGAGAUGUUGGGUUAAGUCCCGCAACGAGCGCAACCCUUGUUACUAGUUGCCAGCAUUAAGUUGGGCACUCUAGUGAGACUGCCGGUGACNAACCGGAGGAAGGUGGGGACGACGUCAGAUCAUCAUGCCCCUUAUGACCUGGGCUACACACGUGCUACNAAUGGACGGUACAACGAG
rnacentral:rRNA from 2 species